rnacentral:rRNA from 1 species
CAGUAGCCGCGGUAGUACGGAGGGGGCUAGCGUUGUUCGGAAUUACUGGGCGUAAAGCGCACGUAGGCGGCUUGGUAAGUUAGAGGUGAAAGCCUGGAGCUCAACUCCAGAAUUGCCUUUAAGACUGCCGAGCUAGCAGGUGAGAGAGGUAAGUGGAAUUCCGAGUGUAGAGGUGAAAUUCGUAGAUAUUCGGAAGAACACCAGUGGCGAAGGCGGCUUACUGGCUCAUACUGGACGCUGAGGCACGAAAGCGUGGGGAGCAAACAGGAUUAGAUACCCCAGUAGUCCCUGUCUCUUAUAC